AAAAAAAGGAAGGAACUGCUGCUAUCAGAGUGAAGAAAUGUGAGGUCACCCUUUGCGGGAACAGGAGGCGAGCCGGAGGAAGUUCCUUUUCCUCUCUCCAGCCUCGCCGUCUCAGCAGAGCGAAACAGGGGAGCCCCUGGCAAGCAAAUGUUGGAAGGUUCCCAGCCCAGCGUCACAGCAGAGCAGAGAGGCCAACAUCCUUGGCAGAGCUGUGAGCCAACAGCCAGCCCCAGCCUGCCAGCCGUGUGAGCAAGCAGUCUUGGAAGGUGAUUCUACAGCCCCAGCUGAAACACUCCAACUGAUGCCAUGUGAGCCGAGAAGAGCAGCCAAACUGAGCCCUUCUCAAAUCCCUGAUCCUCCAAAUCUCCUCCUGAAAAGCAUGCAGCCGGCAGAAGAUCUGGAUACCACAGAGACUGAGAUUCUACAUGUGUUCAGAGACCGGAGUCCCUACCACAGAACCUGUGACCUGUGCUUCUAGGGUCUUCAAAGUCAAUAAAAAUCAGCAGGGUCUCGGCUCACUGUAGCCUCAACCUCCCAGGCUCAGGCAAUCCUCCCACCUCAGCCUCCCAAGUAGCUGGGACCACAGGCACGCACCACCACGCCCAGCUAAUUUUUGUAUUUUACUGUGGAGACGGUUUCUCACCAUGUUGCCCAGGCUCAUGUGACUAAUUUCUGAUUCAGACACAGGGUGCUGGGAUCACAGGCAUGAGCCACCGCGCGCUGCCCACGGUGUCCUACUUAACAAGGCAUCUGGCCCAGCCAUCAUUGGAAAUCCACCUGGCUUCAGAAACAGGGUCUCACCGUGGCCCAGGCCGAGUGCAGCGGAGCCGUCAUAGCACACUGAAGCCUUGAACUCCUGGGCACAUGCGAUCCUCCCACUUCAUUGUUCCAAAGUGCUGAGAUUACAGAUGUGAGCCUGACUGGGAAUAUAAAAUGGUAUAUAACCUCUGUGGAAGACAGUAUGACAAUUCCCAAAAAGUUAAACAUAGAUUCAACAUAUGAUCCAACAAUUCCUCAUUUAGGUCUAUACCUCAAAGAAUUGAAAGCAGGGAUUCAAACAGAUAGAUAGCUAUACACCCAUGCUCAUAGCAGCAUUAUUCAUGAGGGUCAAAAAGUGAAAACAACCCAAGUGUUUAUCAACAGGUGAAUAAAUAAGCAAAAUGUGUUGUAUUCACACAAUGGAAAGUUAUGCAGCCUUAAAAAGAAAGGAAAUUGGCUGAGCAUGGUGGCGCAUGCCUGUAAUCCCAGCACUUUGGGAGGCUGAGUUGGGUGGAUCACCUGAGGUCAAGAGUUCGAGACCAGCCUAGCCAACAUGGUGAAACUCCCAUCUCUACUAAAAAAUACAAAAAUCAGCUGGGCGUAGUGGCAGGUACCUGUAAUCCCAGCUAAUCGCUGGAACUGGGGAGGCGG
rnacentral:lncRNA from 1 species